CUUCAGCUGUGGUUUUAUUCUGGGGUAAUCUUUGGUAUAGUGUCGAGUGUUUUUGUUUUUUGCUUGGAUGUUUAGUGUCUGGAGACAGAGGUGGUAAUUAACUGAGUACAGGUACUCAACUACUCUACUUAAGUACAAUUCUGAGGUACUCGACAUUUGACAUAAUUGAGUAUUUCCAUGUUAUUCUACAUAAUACUUGUGUUUCACUGCAUUGCAGAGGGACUUGUACUUUUUACUACUAGUUAUUUAGCUGCUAUAGUUACAUGCUGUUUUUCAUAUUUAGAUCUUUAGAUUUUACAUUAAAAAACAUAUGAUAAGCUUAUAAAAUACAAUGCAUCAUUUUUUUGUGAUUUAAAUUUUUACUGUGUUUUCUUUUUAUAGGGUAUACAUUUUACAUUUAAUUUCAGUUAUGUUGCUACCCAUUGAAAUAAUAUUAUGAAAACCGAGAAAUUAAAAAAAUAAAAAAAAAAAAAUAAAAAAAUUACAAAACACGAGCAGGAAAAAAAGAGCAGAUAACAAAAUGUACUACAACUAAUAAGAACAAAAAUAAAUAAAUAAAUAAGGAAAUAAAUUAAUUAAUAAAAAAAAA